ensembl:lncRNA
CCAGAUCCAAAUCUAAAUGAAAGCAAACCCUUUGCUCUCUGAGCACCCUAACAUCAUGGGGAAAGCUCACAUACCUCUCUGCUCGUUCUCAACCACAGUUAAGUGUCAGCAUUAUUUAUCAGCAGAACCUCUAAGAUUAAGGAAGACAAAUGGUGUGGCAGGGAGAAGUAGGAUAAAAAUGCCUCCGUGCCUGUAAUACGUGAGUAUUGAUUCAGUGAUGUGGAGAGGAAAGUGCAGCGAGUUGGGACAAAAGUGCUUUAAAUAAGUCGGGAUGUGCUACGUAUAGCACAUGUAACAUCUUGUUCGUGUGCAAGAACAGACUGGGAAAGGAACAGCUUUGUUUGUGCAGGAGAGAGAACAUCAAAGUGAUUGCAAGGUCCGGCGCUGCAAUAGGAACCAUUUGUCUUUUGAGGACUGUUACUGCUGGUGGUCACUUCUUUUCCCCUGUUACAGUGCAGCAGGAUGAGCAAUGUGAUGCUGUGGGCACUGGGAAUGUAGUGGCAGCUCCCACACCGGCACCCUGCCUGCACCAGUUGGAAGUGUGAGCUCACACAGUACAGCUCUGACUGUGGUGGUGAGGUGGGCCAGGAGAGCCCAGUGGGUGUCUGUGUGACCACCGGAUGGUGCCACGGCCUGCAAACGUGGGCCGGUGCUCAACGAGCUGUGUGACCUCAGCUGGGGUUGUGUCUGUCCUGCAGCUUCCGUGCUGGAGUUUGUGUUGUUUUCUUUCUUUCCACCUCCUCCCAGGGCCGCUGAUGUUUGGACCUCGUUGCACUCACAGCAUUAAAGCGGAAUAACAUCAAGAGGUGGAGCUUUUUGGUCAUAAGAUAGACACGUUCCCAUACUAGAGGAGACUGCUCAGGUGUACCGACAGCCUGAAGUAAAUGAAAGGCCUCCCCCGCAGGGGAGCUGUGCUCAGGGUGUUUUGCCUCUCGGCUGCUUUCCCCACCCGGGCAGCUGGUUGGAAGCAUGCUGUGGCACAUUUCAGCUUGUUGCAGUGGAUUGCGAGCUGGGCCCUUUCUCCCAAAGUGCUGAUGCUGCAGCAUUCCGUCAGACCGCAGGCAUCGCGCUGCUGUUCCUCGGUGCGUGCACACGCAGACCUUGGAGCAUUUACAGCAGCUUCAGCUCUGCAACCUGCUGUCCAGGUUACUGCUUCAAUAGAAUAAGACAGCAAACCAUGAGAAUGAGGGAUGACAAAGAUAUGAAAAUCUAAC